rnacentral:rRNA from 1 species
GAUGAACGCUGGCGGCGUGCCUAAUACAUGCAAGUCGAGCGAAUGGAUUAAGAGCUUGCUCUUAUGAAGUUAGCGGCGGACGGGUGAGUAACACGUGGGUAACCUGCCCAUAAGACUGGGAUAACUCCGGGAAACCGGGGCUAAUACCGGAUAACAUUUUGAACCGCAUGGUUCGAAAUUGAAAGGCGGCUUCGGCUGUCACUUAUGGAUGGACCCGCGUCGCAUUUGCUAGUUGGUGAGGUAACGGCUCACCAAGGCAACGAUGCGUAGCCGACCUGAGAGGGUGAUCGGCCACACUGGGACUGAGACACGGCCCAGACUCCUACGGGAGGCAGCAGUAGGGAAUCUUCCGCAAUGGACGAAAGUCUGACGGAGCAACGCCGCGUGAGUGAUGAAGGCUUUCGGGUCGUAAAACUCUGUUGUCAGGGAAGAACAAGUGCUAGUUGAAUAAGCUGGCACCUUGACGGUACCUAACCAGAAAGCCACGGCUACCUACGUGCCAGCCGCCGCGGUAA